rnacentral:rRNA from 1 species
UACGAAGGGGGCUAGCGUUGUUCGGAAUUACUGGGCGUAAAGGGCGCGUAGGCGGUGUGUCAAGUCAGGCGUGAAAGCCCCGGGCUCAACCUGGGAACCGCGCUUGAGACUGGCACGCUCGAGUUCGGGAGAGGAUGGUGGAAUUCCCGGUGUAGCGGUGAAAUGCGCAGAUAUCGGGAAGAACACCUAUGGCGAAGGCAGCUCUCUGGGACGGUACUGACGCUGAGGCGCGAAAGCGUGGGGAGUAAACAGG